rnacentral:misc_RNA from 1 species
GAUGAAGAACGUAGCGAAAUGCGAUACGUAAUGUGAAUUGCAAAUUCAGUGAAUAAUCGAGUCUUUGAACGCACAUUGCGCCCCCUGGUAUUCCGGGGGGCAUGCCUGUCCGAGCGUCAUUGCUGCCCUCAAGCACGGCUUGUGUGUUGGGCCCCGUCCUCCGAUCCCGGGGGACGGGCCCGAAAGGCAGCGGCGGCACCGCGUCCGGUCCUCGAGCGUAUGGGGCUUUGUCACCCGCUCUGUAGGCCCGGCCGGCGCUUGCCGAUCAACCCAAAUUUUUAUCCAGGUUGACCUCGGAUCAGGUAGGGAUACCCGCUGAACUUAAGCAUAUCAAUAAGCGGAGGA